GCAUAUCCAAUAAGCGGAGGAAAAGAAACCAACAGGGAUUGCCCUAGUAACGGCGAAGUGAAGCGGCAACAGCUCAAAUUUGAAAUCUGGCCCCCGGGUCCGAGUUGUAAUUUGUAGAGGAUGCUUUUGGUGCGGUACCUUCCGAGUUCCCUGGAACGGGACGCCAUAGAGGGUGAGAGCCCCGUCUGGUUGGACGCCAAUCCUUUGUAAAGCUCCUUCGACGAGUCGAGUAGUUUGGGAAUGCUGCUCUAAAUGGGAGGUAUAUGUCUUCUAAAGCUAAAUAUUGGCCAGAGACCGAUAGCGCACAAGUAGAGUGAUCGAAAGAUGAAAAGCACUUUGAAAAGAGAGUUAAAAAGUACGUGAAAUUGUUGAAAGGGAAGCGCUCAUGACCAGACUUGGGCCCGGUUGAUCAUCCAGGGUUCUCCCUGGUGCACUCUUCCGGCCCAGGCCAGCAUCAGUUCGCUGUGGGGGAUAAAGGCUUCGGGAAUGUGGCUCCUCCGGGAGUGUUAUAGCCCGCUGCGUAAUACCCUGUGGCGGACUGAGGUUCGCGCAUCUGCAAGGAUGCUGGCGUAAUGGUCAUCAGCGACCCGUCUUGAAACACGGACCAAGGAGUCGUCUUCGUAUGCGAGUGUUCGGGUGUCAAACCCCUACGCGGAAUGAAAGUGAACGCAGGUGAGAGCUUCGGCGCAUCAUCGACCGAUCCUGAUGUUCUCGGAUGGAUUUGAGUAAGAGCAUACGGGGCCGGACCCGAAAGAAGGUGAACUAUGCCUGUAUAGGGUGAAGCCAGAGGAAACUCUGGUGGAGGCUCGCAGCGGUUCUGACGUGCAAAUCGAUCGUCAAAUAUGGGCAUGGGGGCGAAAGACUAAUCGAACCUUCUAGUAGCUGGUUUCCGCCGAA
rnacentral:rRNA from 1 species